rnacentral:misc_RNA from 1 species
GAUGAAGAACGUAGCGAAAUGCGAUAAGUAAUGUGAAUUGCAGAAUUCAGUGAAUCAUCGAAUCUUUGAACGCACAUUGCGCCCGCCAGUAUUCUGGCGGGCAUGCCUGUUCGAGCGUCAUUACAACCCUCAGGCCCCCGGGCCUGGCGUUGGGGAUCGGCGGAGCCCCCCGUGGGCACACGCCGUCCCCCAAAUACAGUGGCGGUCCCGCCGCAGCUUCCAUCGCGUAGUAGCUAACACCUCGCGACUGGAGAGCGGCGCGGCCACGCCGUAAAACACCCAAGUCUUCUGAAGUUGACCUCGAAUCAGGUAGGAAUACCCGCUGAACUUAAGCAUAUCAAUAAGCGGAGGA